GACGAACGCUGGCGGCGUGCCUAAUACAUGCAAGUAGAACGCUGAAGAGAGGAGCUUGCUCUUCUUGGAUGAGUUGCGAACGGGUGAGUAACGCGUAGGUAACCUGCCUUGUAGCGGGGGAUAACUAUUGGAAACGAUAGCUAAUACCGCAUAACAAUGGAUGACACAUGUCAUUUAUUUGAAAGGGGCAAUUGCUCCACUACAAGAUGGACCUGCGUUGUAUUAGCUAGUAGGUGAGGUAACGGCUCACCUAGGCGACGAUACAUAGCCGACCUGAGAGGGUGAUCGGCCACACUGGGACUGAGACACGGCCCAGACUCCUACGGGAGGCAGCAGUAGGGAAUCUUCGGCAAUGGGGGCAACCCUGACCGAGCAACGCCGCGUGAGUGAAGAAGGUUUUCGGAUCGUAAAGCUCUGUUGUAAGUCAAGAACGAGUGUGUGAGUGGAAAGUUCACACUGUGACGGUAGCUUACCAGAGAGGGACGGCUAACUACGUG
rnacentral:rRNA from 1 species